AGACAGUCCUUCCGGUGGUGGAGAUCCCUGGAGAACGCUGCAACCAUUUGAUGUAGUGGGAGGACCACUGACAGGUGGCUGCUUCUUCUUCUCAGGCCUCACUUUCUUCACUCUGAGUGCACAUCAUCCUGAAACAAGAAAGGCAUGACUGUACAAAACAGACCACAAAAGCCUGACUCUUACCAAAAGGUGAGAGCGAAGUAUGAAACAAUUUCAAAUACAUAUUUUUACAAAAAAAAAAAAUUAGGAUUAUACUGGGGUUCAGAUGUUUUUAAAUCAGAUAAUGUGUGUAUGCGUUUCUAUUUCUUACAUGUCUUGUGGGCACAAUUUGUAUUUUUGCUGAGGCUGGCAGGGAGAGAUAAAGUUCAACUGUAUGUAUAAGUUGAAGUUCAUAACAGAACAAGGGUUGGAGACAGGUCAGGGAGGUGUCCUUUAAACAAGGGGAAAGUCUGCUGACUACUGAUUAAGAGAACUGAGAAAGACGUUAUGAUGCUAUCUGCAUCUAUGGGGAGGUGUCCGAGAGUGUAUAAGAACUAACUGUCAAGGCUCUUCUGGGAGCCUUUCCUCUGUAACCCCUUUUGUGUGUUGCGCUGUUAAACGCUUCUUGUACAAGAAUAAUAAA